UACAGAGGGGGCUAGCGUUAUUCGGAAUUAUUGGGCGUAAAGGGCGCGUAGGCGGCCACGCGUGUCUUUCGUGAAAUCCCUCGGCUUAACCGGGGAACUGCGUCCGAUACUGGAUGGCUUGAGUUCGGGAGAGGGAUGCGGAAUUCCAGGUGUAGCGGUGAAAUGCGUAGAUAUCUGGAGGAACACCGGUGGCGAAAGCGGCAUCCUGGACCGACACUGACACUGAGGAGCGAAAGCCAGGGGAGCAAACGGG
rnacentral:rRNA from 1 species